rnacentral:misc_RNA from 1 species
AAAAAAAUGAUUGGUCAAUUGAAAAUUAUAAAUUUAUGAUUGGUUAAAAUGAAAUUGUUUACGUUAUAAAAAGUUUAUUCAAAAAUCAACAAAUCCAACAUGUCGGCUUGGACAAAAGUGUUGGUGUUGUUGUUGUUGUUGUAGGGAAAAAUAUAAAAAAAAAAAAUGUAAUUAUCUAUUUACAGAUAAAUGUUUUGUGUUUUAAAAUUAUCAAGUGUAUAUUGUAAUUAACUUCAACAAAAUUAUAUGUGAUAAUAAAAUAGAAUAAAAAUGUCAAGAUACGCAGCAUUGAAGGGAUUUUAUGAGUUGGAGAAGACAAUUGGUUGUGGUGGCUUUGCAAAGGUAAAAUUAUCAACACAUAUAUUGACUGGUGAAAAAGUUGCCAUUAAAAUAAUGGAAAAAGCAGCACUUGGUGAUGAUUUACCUCGUGUUAAAUUAGAAGUUGAAGCAUUAAAAACACUUCAACAUCAACAUAUAUGUCGUCUCUAUCAAAUCAUUGAAACUGAUACACAUUAUUUUAUGGUAAUGGAAUAUUGUUCUGGUGGUGAAUUAUUUGAUCACAUCGUUGAAAAAAAACGUUUAUCAGAAGCUGAAUCACGUAAAUUUUUUCGUCAAAUAGUAUCAGCAGUUGCAUAUUUACAUUCAUAUGGUUAUGCACAUCGUGAUUUAAAACCAGAAAAUGUGUUACUUGAUAAAAAUGAAAAUUUAAAAUUAAUUGAUUUUGGUUUAUGUGCAAAGCCAAAAGGUGGUAUGCAAUCACAUUUAUAUACAUCAUGUGGUUCACCAACAUAUGCAGCACCAGAAUUAAUACUUGGUAAAAAAUAUCUUGGUGCUGAAGUUGAUAUAUGGAGUAUGGGUGUAUUAUUAUAUGCAUUAUUAUGUGGUUAUUUACCAUUUGAUGAUUCAUCAAUUGAAAAUUUAUAUAAAAAAAUAUUAUCUGGUAAUUAUGAAGAACCAAAUUGGUUAACAAAUUCAAGUAAAAAAUUAAUACGUGCAAUGUUACAAACUGAUCCUAAAAAUCGUAUAACAAUUAAUGAAUUAUGUAAUCAUCCAUGGGUAUUAUCUGGUUAUAUGAAUUCAAUUAAAAUACAUAAAAAAUCAAAUUUUGAAAGAGAUGAUGAUGUAUUAAAAAUCAUGAAUAGUAUUUGUGGUGAUGAUGUAUUUGAUAUAUGGAGUAUAUUAAAUAAAAGUUCAAGAACUGAUUAUAGAACAGCAACAUAUCUUUUAUUACUUGAUAAAAAAUUAAAAGGACAAUUAUUAAAAUCAACUAAUUAUGCUAAAUUUAAUUUUAAUUAUUAUGACUGUAUGACAAAUAAUAUUAUGACUAAAAUUACCAUGUCACCACGAAGUAAAAUAUUUAGAAAAAAUCCAAUAUGUGAUGAAAAUAAUGAAUCAGUAUCAACAGUACCAGAACCAGAAAUAAUUGGUAAAAGUUUUGUUGAACCAACAAUACCUGGACGUAAACGUUUACGUAGUAAAGACAUUGACGAUGUAUCUUCACCUGUGCCAACAAAAAAAUUAAUUGAUUCAAAAAUGAUAUUAACACCAACAACACCAGCAAAGCAGUCAAUAAAGGAUACUCGUAGUUCAUCAACACCUGGAAGUGCUAAAAAAAUGAUGAUGGGCCUUGAACGUGGAUUGAAUAAAGUUAGAUGUGUUUUAACACCAAAACGUCGUUUUAAUGCAAGUGAUAUUGUUGGUGAUCAACCACAAAUAUUAUCAUCAAAAGGUUUAUGCAAUGUAUCAUCAACAUCAUCAAGUAAUCCAAAAAUUGUAUUAUUACAAUUACGUCGUGCAUUGCAAAAAAAAGGAAUAACAUGUUCACAAAAAAAUUAUACUCUACAGGGAGAAACAGAUUCAAUUGAUAUUGAAAAUUCUAAAAAUGGUGGUAAGCCAACAACAACAAGAAAAGUAUGUUCAUUUCAAUUGGAAGUAUGUCUUUUAGAAGGUAUUUCUGAUGAUACACCAAUUGUUGGUAUCAGAAGAAAACGUUUAAAAGGUGAUGCAUGGGUUUAUAAACGUGUUUGUGAAGAAGUAUUAGCACUUGCUGCUGAAUCAUUUGGAACAAAUCAAAAUGAACCAACAGCAUCAAAUGUACUUAUUUAAUUUUAACAAUCAAACAUUAACUUGUCUUCAUUUGCUAAGGAAAAUAUAACAAACACGCUUAUUCAUCUGUUUUAAGUUUUGUAUGAACUAGAGUGCUGAAAAAUUAUUAAAAGUACAAGAAAAAAAAAAAUAAAGAAAAAAAGAUAUAUAGGAUAUUUAUUGGUCGAUAAAUUGGUGUGUAUAUUUUUAUAUCAAUAUUUAUGGCAUUUUGAAGGGUAGACACAAAGAAAAUUUUCGAAUUGAGCUGUAACAUCGUAAAAUUGAACAAGACAGUUGAGUUUAAGUAUGUUGAAAUUUUAUUAUUUUUGUCUUUAAAAAUUUUUAUAUACAUUUUUUUUUUUUUUUUGGAUUAAUAUAGCCAGAUAUAAAGUGUAUCGCGGCUCGUUUGAACGAGGUUACUCGUCAGUUCACUAAAGUGGUAAUGUGAAAUAGACAAAGUGAAGUUAUAAAAUCACCACAAAUCGAUCAGUGCUGUUGUGAAUCAGUUUUAUUUUUAUGGUAUUUUGUUGGGUAGUUUAGAUACUUACCUUUUAUUCUUCAACUGCCGAUCGCGUGUGCUCUGUAUUAUUUCUCAACGAUGCGCGGCUUACAUGGAAUGUUCUUUCAAUACUUUAAGUAACAAAAAAUAAAUAAAAUAAUGUUAUUUUAUAUUUUUUCGAUUUUUACUCUUCAAACAAUGCUCAAACAAGAUAUUUACAAGACAAAGAACAUUUUUAUCUAUUUCAUGGUCAUUUUUUAAGUUUUUAUUUAAAUCAUCUAUAUAUUUUUCUA